CAGUCGCCGCGGUAAAACGUAGGUGGCAAGCGUUGUCCGGAAUUAUUGGGCGUAAAGGGCUCGCAGGCGGUUUCUUAAGUCUGAUGUGAAAGCCCCCGGCUCAACCGGGGAGGGUCAUUGGAAACUGGGAAACUUGAGUGCAGUAGAGGAGAGUGGAAUUCCACGCGUAGCGGUGAAAUGCGUAGAGAUGUGGAGGAACACCAGUGGCGAAGGCGACUCUCUGGUCUGUAACUGACGCUGAGGAGCGAAAGCGUGGGGAGCGAACAGGAUUAGAUACCCGCGUAGUCCCUGUCUCUUAUAC
rnacentral:rRNA from 1 species